UGAUUUGUUUUUUUUCUUGAUGUGGUGUAGAUGGUUUUUCACUAUCACUAUUAUUCAUAUGUAUAAAAUAUGUUUGUGUCUGUCUCUUGUAUUGGAUCUGAUGAUAGGUAUAGGAGAAACACAUUUGUUGCGAUUUCUUUAGACUCAAGUCAAUAUUAUAUACAUGAAAAAACUCAGAUCUACCAUCAGAACAACAAAAAUCAGUUCACUGAUUAUCAUUUCAAGCCUAAUCAAAUCAAAAUAUUUGUAUUUGUAUGCCUUAUCUAUUGUUCUUUGGUGUAUGGUUCAACUUCGUAAUUCUUCGACCGUGAUUUCCUUGAUAUAGGAGGUAUAGUAGCAUCAGAAUGGUUUUCAACAACAUGAUUAUUUUGAUAACAUGUUGUAAGGUGUGGAGCAAUAGUAGAAGUUUGAGAUGCGAGAAUCAUAAUUUCAUUGAUUACUUUUCUCGAAUUUCUUUGUGAAGAUGUUACUGGAUUUUUUUUCUCUUCCUUCUUCCUCUACCGUUAACAUUGGUUACUCUGCUGUAAUGGAAUCUGUUAGAGUGACAGUAA